rnacentral:rRNA from 1 species
UACAGAGGGGGCAAGCGUUAUUCGGAAUUAUUGGGCGUAAAGGGCGCGUAGGCGGCGAUUCAAGUGACGUGUGAAAUCCCUCGGCUUAACCGAGGAACUGCCUGUCAGACUGGAUUGCUUGAGGCCGGGAGAGGUGAGUGGAAUUCCCGGUGUAGCGGUGAAAUGCGUAGAUAUUGGGAGGAACACCAGUGGCGAAGGCAGAUCACUGGGCCGGUACUGACGCUGAUGAGCGAAAGCGUGGGGAGCAAACAGG